rnacentral:piRNA from 1 species
UGUAAGGGAAAAGAAAGGUUGAUGUAUUAG